rnacentral:lncRNA from 1 species
UUGACCAAUUAUUAGCCAACACAUCAUAAGGGUCUGAAGUAAUUAGGGAUUUGAAUGCUAGAAGAGCAGAUUGAUCAGUUGUGAUGUUUUUUGUAUUUGCAGCUAAGCAAGCAAUAAAACAACAAUGCAAUGAAAGCGAUAAAAGAAAGAGAUGAGAUGAUAGAUUAACCAUUUUCCGGUAAUGUGUGUGAAUAAUUGAUGAGGCAAGGGACUGACAGGAAUGAUACAUAUAUAUUAACCACUAUUUGUUGGUGGUUUGUGUGGUUCAAGUCAACCAGGUCAACAAAGAUAGAUAUUAAA